ACGGGGCAUGUGAUGUUAUUAGUAUCUAGUGUUAAGCAAUAAUGUUAAGUGAGGGGUAAGCAAUAAUGUGCCUUCUAUAAUUGUAUUAAGGUGCAUCGAUUUUAUCGCUACAAAUGAUCACCUAUUUGAGCCUGCUUGCCAUCUGCUCAGUUGGUCCAGUGGUGUGAGGGCUUGACUAACAAGCUUGGGGCACCCGGUUCAAUCCCCGUAGCGGGCGAACUUUUUCCAUGUAUAUUUGUUUAUUUUGUGCAUUAUUGUUUAGAUUUAGAAUUUUGGUUGCGGUCAUGACGAGAAAUCAGCAAAAAAUGAAAUGGAACGGACACUUGAGCUCGUGACGGCGACUCGGGUAAACAUCCUCCGCUGUUCUUGUGAAACGUGAUAUGGAAUAUUCAUUAUACCGAAAUAGUUUAAAUGUGCAAUCUGGAAAUCCAACCAGCUGGAGUGAUAAUAUUUUGUUUAUAUUGUGUGUGCCGUUUCAACUACACUAAGGGCUUAAGGAAACGCCCUUUUGGUGCACGGCAAAUAUUGUUAUUUGAAGAUUGGGCUAGCUAAAAGGACAGGCAGUGGGUAGGCAGCGGCACCCAGUCGACCAUCAGACUAAACGCUCCUGGCGUCCAACUAGUUUUAGGAUAGUUAAGUUUCAUUGUACAUAGAGGUUAAUAAACGUAGUUUUAGCAUU